CCUGCCAGUAGUCAUAUGCUUGUCUCAAAGAUUAAGCCAUGCAUGUCUAAGUAUAAUCAUUUUAUCGAAAAACUGCGGACGGCUCAUUAAAUCAGUUAUAAUCUAUUCGAUGGCUAAAAUUACAUGGAUAACUGUAGUAAUUCUAGAGCUAAUACAUGAACGAAGCCAUGCUUUACUGUGUGGUGUUUUUACAAGUUAACAUAAACCUAUUUUAACUACUGACUUAUUGUAAACUAACAGACCGAACAGGCUUGUCCUGGCGGCGCAUCGUAUGAAUUUCUGCCCUAUCAACUUUGAUGGUAGUGUAGUGGACUACCAUGGUGGCGACGGGUAACGGGGAAUUAGGGUUCGAUUCCGGAGAGGGAGCCUGAGAAACGGCUACCACUUCUAAGGAAGGCAGCAGGCGCGCAAAUUACCCAAUCCCAAUACGGGGAGGUAGUGACAAAAAAUAGCAAUGCUUAGACCAUUCAAAAUGGUCUGGUAAUUGAAAUGAGUACAAUUUAAAAAACUUAACGAGGAACAAUUGGAGGGCAAGUCUGGUGCCAGCAGCCGCGGUAAUUCCAGCUCCAAUAGCGUAUACUAAAAUUGUUGCAGUUAAAAAGCUCGUAGUCGAAAGCCGCGCGUUGCUUUCACUGGGGCCCCCUAGAGGGGCCAAAACUGGUGGAGUGAAGCGCUAUCGUCUUAUAUACCAGACGGCCUUAAUUGUGUCGUUUGAACGUGUAUACAGACUAAAUUACUGUGAAAAAAUUAGAGUGUUCAAGGCAGGCGUUACAGCUUGUAUAGAUUAGCAUAGGAUAAUGAUAAGAUUGAGAAUUUACGUUCUGUAGGUUUAAAAUGCUUAAUAAUGGUUAAUAGGGUUUAUCAGGGGCGCUCAUAUUUAAUUGUCAGAGGUGAAAUUCUUGGAUUUAUGAAAGAUGAACUAAUGCGAAAGCAUCCGCCAUGGGUAUUCCCAUUGAUCAAGAACGAAAGUUAAGGGAUCGAAGACGAUCAGAUACCGUCGUAGUCUUAACUAUAAACGAUACCGACCAACACUCGAAAGACGUUAUAUGGAUGACUCCUCCGGAAGUUUGUGAGAAAUCAUAAGUCUUCGGGUUCUGGGGGGAGUAUGGUCGCAAGGCUGAAACUUAAAGGAAUUGACGGAAGGGCACACCAGAAGUGGAGCCUGCGGCUUAAUUUGACCCAACACGGGAAAUCUCACCAGGUCCAGACAUUAGUAUGAUAGACAGAUUAAGAGCUCUUUCUAGAUUUUGUGGGUGGUGGUGCAUGGCCGUUCUUAGUUGGUGGAUUGAUUUGUCUGCUUAAUUGCGAUAACGAACGAGACCUCAGCCUGCUAACUAGUACAUUUAACUUUCAAAUGGUUGAAGCUCUUGAUUGUUGAGGGGCCUCGGUCCUUCAAUAAACUUGAGUGGAAGCUCGAAAUGUUACAAUGUUGCUUCUUAGAGGGACUAUUGGCGAUUAGUCAAAGGAAGUUUGAGGCAAUAACAGGUCUGUGAUGCCCUUAGAUGUUCUGGGCCGCACGCGCGCUACAAUGACCAGGGCAACGAGCCAACCUUAGUCAAAAGACUUGGGAAAACUUUUAAACCUGGUCUUAACUGGAAUAGAUUAUUGAAAUUAUUAGUCUUAAACGAGGAAUUUCUAGUAAGCGUGCGUCACUAGCGCACGUUGAUUACGUCCCUGCCCUUUGUACACACCGCCCGUCGCUUCUACCGAUUGAAUGUUUCGGUGAAAUAUCUGGAGGAACGUAUAAACCCUGCGAGGGGUGAGUAUGUUAUCAAAAGAUAGUAAACCACAAUGUUUAGAGGAAGAAGAAGUCGU
rnacentral:rRNA from 1 species